rnacentral:rRNA from 1 species
UACGUGAUGGGGCUCGAGUCGUUGGAUUGAUCUGGGCGUAAAGGCUCGUAGGCGGCCAACUAAGUCAGACGUGAAAAUCCCUCGGCUUACCGGGGAACUGCGUCUGAUACUGGAUGGCUAGAGUGUGGGAGAGGGGAUGCGGAAUUCCAGGUGUAGCGGUGAAAUGCGUAGAUAUCUGGAGGAACACCGGUGGCGAAGGCGGCAUCCGUGGACCACGACUGACGCUGAGGCACGAAAGCGUGGGAGCGAAG